AUGUAUCAGAAUUACAAUCCACGAAAUGGUGUUGGUUCGGUCCCCCCAACUGAGUUGAGAGGGCUUGCACCAGUGCGUAUGUGUCCAUAUGGACCCUCUAAGCACCGGCGGAGCUACGUUGGGGCCAAACAUGGCCGUGGCCCGCCCAGCUUUUCCAAAAAACAAAAAUUAUACCUAAGCCCACGGACAAAUAAGACUACUCAGCAGCAACAAUUCAAGAUGAUGGCCAUGUUCAGUAACCUGGCCCGCUCAGCUUUCUGCUGGGAUGAUCCCAUCAUUGUGGAGAAGGGUUCUCUCAUCAGCAUGGCUGGUGGCCCUAGGCGAGGGAUAUAUAUGGAUGAUGAUGGUCUAAUUGAGUAUGACAUGAGGAUCAAGAGAGGCAGGCAAGAAGGAGAUGACCUACAGGUGAUUGACGGUGCAACAAUCUUAAGCCCUUGGGGCACAUCGGAGCGGCCGUUCACAUUUAACAUCUCUGGCGACUGUGGCGGUGCGGUUGCCAUAACUUUAGCAUAUCUUUCCAGCGCGGUUGAGGCCACAGUAGAGGUUCUCAUAUCGGAAGUGCAUAGCAGUUUCCAUAUGUCUCUCGGAUGUUUUACCAGUGGGUGUUAUGACGAGAUCCGGCUCUUCGAUGGCGUUGUUGUCAAGUCUUGUGCCCUGAAGAGGUCUGUGGUUGCCGUAGUGAGGUGGUCUUCCAUACGUUUGAAAUUCAAGGUAUGCGCACCAUCAUCCGGAUCCGAGUCCCAACGUCGUUGUACCUUCAAGGCGAAGACCCAUGGGCAUAAAACUCGAGAGAUAAAGACUGAUUUUGCGCUGAUCUCGGUGAAGGUGACUUGGGGUCGACGCUCGACGCUGCCUGCGCAGGUGCCACGGAUGCUCCACAGUCCUGCUGUGUUCCACAUUUUGUUUCUUCUUUCCACUGUUUUGGCAACACGGAUUAGGGUAGCUGCACUCUAUGCUGAGCUUUUGAGUGCGGCGUUUCUGCUCCCGAGCUCAUCUGCACCCUCCUGA
rnacentral:rRNA from 1 species